UACGUAGGGGGCUAGCGUUGUCCGGAAUCAUUGGGCGUAAAGCGCGCGUAGGCGGCCCGGUAAGUCCGUUGUAAAAGUCAAAGGCUCAACCUUUGAAAGCCGAUGGAUACUGCCGGGCUAGAAUCCGGAAGAGGCGAGUGGAAUUCCUGGUGUAGCGGUGGAAUGCGCAGAUAUCAGGAGGAACACCGAUAGCGAAGGCAGCUCGCUGGGACGGUAUUGACGCUAAGGCGCGAAAGCGUGGGGAGCAAACAGG
rnacentral:rRNA from 1 species